ACUCAACACACAUACACACCCAUUCACAUACACACACACUACAACAUUAGGCAGGCUAAAGCACACAAACACUCAGAAUGGAAGUUUUAAUAUGGAAAACAAGAAACUGCUGCACCAUCAUGGCUCUGGCUGCAGUGAUCUGUGCCAUUUCUUUCCGAGGGGUGACUUGUCAAGAUGAUGCAGCUCCACCUGUUCCACAAAUUAUGACUGCAGCAUCUGCCUAUAUGGUUGGGGCUGCAUAUGUACGUGGAGAUAAUGUUCCUUCAACCCCACGACCGAAGAUCCAAGGAACACUUAAGUCUCAAGAACAGGUCAACGUCUUCCCCAGCCUUUCUGGGCCGAUCCAUGUAAAGAGUACAGGGGUACCUCAGAGCCCUCAGACCAGUACAGUCCACACAGCAGCAGAGGAUGCAGACAAACAGAACACACAGACCUCACUUCCCAUCAGUAUAAACAAGCCUGCUGCAGAGGCCAGUCACUUGGUGAGGAUUAAACACACUGAAGGAGCAGUAAACAUCAAAGGGCUCACCCUCCUUCUGGAUGGUGUGAGGUGCGUAGACGAGUCCGCAGUGCGGGGAAAACAGGCCUUGAGGCUGAAGCUGAAGACUUCCUCUAGCUGUGAGGAAAACAGAGUAAAGAUUCAAAGUGUUCAAGAACAUCUUUGUCAUGAGCUUGAGAUCUACCAGCAAGCAAACACUGAUGAGAUGAUCAUAUCUGGGCCAUGCAUCCAAGCUGAUGCCAAAGGAAUGAGGGAUAAAUUCAACAAUGACAACAUCAAAGAUAAGGUUGACAUUGAGGAAGCAGAGCUCAUCUUUGUGAAGUACUCCCGGGCUGUCCUGGUCUCGGUCCUCCUCACUGGUCUGCUCCUGGCGGCCUUACUCAUUGCUGGAUACCUCCUGACAACCCACCGCAGACAGGCCAAAGGAAUGCGCGUGGUCAGGCUCUCAAUGUCAUGUACAAAAUCUUUGGGGCUUUACACAGCUGACACUGCUGGUUUAAUAUAUUUGUUCACAAAAUAGGACAUGCCGUAGGGUAACACACUAUGGGUUACUGUAAAUUAUGGUCUGAAGUUAGCUAUUGUGAUGUGUGCAGGAAGGGACCAAGAUACAAGUGCAGGUAAGGAGUGUUUUUAUUCUCCAUUGUGAAUAAGGAUAAAGAUGAACAAUGAGAGCAGAGCAGCAAGCUGGCUAAAGUGCAAAAGAAAUGCUGGCACACUGCAAUAACUGCUCAAAGUGCAUAGGCACUGAACAGCAGGCUAUCAUCUUAUGGCAUCGUCCUUAGAGCUGUAUGGGCAAGCAAUACACUGCACUAGUGGAGAGUACCUAAUAGCCUAAUAUAUAGGCUAUUUUAUUUAUUUAAAUAUGAUGUAUUGCAUUUUAAUGUUGAACAAAUUACAUAGGUGUAGUAUAUUUAAUGAUUCCCAUCCAAGCUGAAUUUUUUGGAAGAUCAGCAAAAUAGUUCUUGACAAAAAUGCAGUCAUUAUCACACGCAUACACACAUGUGUGCAUAUGAAUGCACAGAUAUGCAGUAAGGCAUGUACCCACCCUCUAUUAUCCACCAUCCCAAUCCAACAGCAUUCAUCUGCAAGUUUCAGGACUUGGAAGAUCUCAAGUCAGGUUUAACGCAGGAUGGAUGCUGAUAUUAUGGCGACACUGAUAUGGGAAUUUUUUUUGUUUUAAGUACAAGUUCAAUAUCACUCAACUUGGACCUUAACUAUAACUAUUGCACAACCUUUCCAAAAGCUUUAGUUCAAAGAAACUUAGCAGUCCUCUGCAGUUCCAUAUCCCACUUAAGCAUUUGAGGAGCACAAUCAUGUGAUGAGUUCUGCCUGGUUCCUGUGGAGAAUAUCAUACUAGAGUAAUUCAAAUGUCAGAAACCUGUUCUACAUUAUGAUAUAACAGUCCUGUUCAAGGAACUAACAAUGAAACUCUACUUCAGUAUAGAAUUCUAGAAUGUUGUAAGAGAAAAAAAAACUCUUCAAGGCACUUCAAAAGCCCAGUUCUCCUUUCUGAAACAGGAGUCUCAUAAAUUGGCACAUACAUCUUUGUAAAAAUCUGUAAAAUCACAUUUGAGCACACUUUUCUGGUUAUAGCAUGGAUAGCCAAGAGAACAACUUUUCCUAAGUGCAUCGAAACUGACAAGGAGCGGUAGUCUUCUUACUACUACAGCUAUCAUCAAGGUUUUGCUGUGCACAACCUACCAUUUAAAGAAAAAAAAUUACUUUAACAUCAUUGAACCUUUUUUUUUUUUUAAGAUGUACUUAAAGCACUGAGUAAAUAUUUUUUAAUUACAAGUUUAUGUGUUUUGGGAGGGUGGUCUUAUUUUUUAAUUCCUUAUUUUAUGGUUACCUAGACAAAUUAAAUCUAAUUCAACACUAUUAAGAUAGUAGGGUUGAAGCCUGAUUUAGCAGUAUAUUGCAUUUUUAAAAUGAAAGACACUUUUACUCCCACAUUGUGCCCUAUUGAUAAAAUAUGCUUCACAAGCAAGUAAAGUGUGUUAUUCAGUGCGCUUUCCUCUCUGGACUGGGUUUCUCUGGCAUUUGUGACAGCAAAUGCUGCCAAAUAUUUUUGGUCAAAUGUGACAAGACUAUUCCAUAGAAUUUUCAAAUGGCGAUUUAGAAAUAUUAUUAGUAUUGCUGACAUUAUCUGGCAGCUUGUUUAAAGCAAAAAAUGAACAGCUUCCCCCAAACAUAUCUGGUUUCAUGCCAACCUACUUAUGUUGUUUGCAGUACUAAAGCCAGUGAUUUAUGAAUCUGAUCUCCACCCAUCUUCAGACCAAACUAGGUGGGGAUGUUAACUGACUAAAUGACAGCAGGAGGCUGAGGACUUGUUCCAGGUGGAUGAACAGAACCAGGGGAACACUCUGCUAUCUGUCACCCCAC